GCCCUUCCUACGGGAGGCAGCAGUGGGGAAUUUUGGACAAUGGGGGCAACCCUGAUCCAGCCAUUCCGCGUGAGUGAAGAAGGCCUUCGGGUUGUAAAGCUCUCUUGUCCGGAGCGAAACGGGCGGCCCUAAUACGGUCGUCUACUGACGGUACCGGAAGAAUAAGCACCGGCUAACUACGUGCCAGCAGCCGCGGUAA
rnacentral:rRNA from 1 species